CCUACGGGGUGCAGCAGUAGGGAAUAUUGCUCAAUGGGGGAAACCCUGAAGCAGCAACGCCGCGUGAAGGAUGACUGUUUUCGGAUUUUAAACUCCUUUUUUUAAAGGAGUUAAUUACGGUAUCUAACGAAUAAUCACCGGCUAACUCCGUGCCAGCAGCCGCGGUAAUACGGAGGGUGCAAGCGUUACUCGGAAUGACUGGGCGUAAAGAGCGCGUAGGCGGGAUAGCAAGUCAGAUGUGAAAUUCUAUGGCUUAACCAUAGAACUGCAAUUGAUACUGUCAGUCUAGAGUACGGGAGAGGUAGGUGGAAUUCUUGGUGUAGGGGUAAAAUGCGUAGAGAUCAAGAAGAAUACUGAUUGCGAAGGCGACCUGCUAGAACAUAACUGACGUUGAUGCGCGAAAGUGUGGGGAGCAAACAGGAUUAGAUACCCGGGUAGUC
rnacentral:rRNA from 1 species